CGGACGGGUGAGUAAUGCUUAGGAAUCUGCCUAUUAGUGGGGGACAACAUUUCGAAAGGAAUGCUAAUACCGCAUACGUCCUACGGGAGAAAGCAGGGGACCUUCGGGCCUUGCGCUAAUAGAUGAGCCUAAGUCGGAUUAGCUAGUUGGUGGGGUAAAGGCCUACCAAGGCGACGAUCUGUAGCGGGUCUGAGAGGAUGAUCCGCCACACUGGGACUGAGACACGGCCCAGACUCCUACGGGAGGCAGCAGUGGGGAAUAUUGGACAAUGGGGGGAACCCUGAUCCAGCCAUGCCGCGUGUGUGAAGAAGGCCUUUUGGUUGUAAAGCACUUUAAGCGAGGAGGAGGCUACUUAGAUUAAUACUCUGAGAUAGUGGACGUUACUCGCAGAAUAAGCACCGGCUAACUCUGUGCCAGCAGCCGCGGUAAUACAGAGGGUGCGAGCGUUAAUCGGAUUUACUGGGCGUAAAGCGUGCGUAGGCGGCUUUUUAAGUCGGAUGUGAAAUCCCUGAGCUUAACUUAGGAAUUGCAUUCGAUACUGGGAAGCUAGAGUAUGGGAGAGGAUGGUAGAAUUCCAGGUGUAGCGGUGAAAUGCGUAGAGAUCUGGAGGAAUACCGAUGGCGAAGGCAGCCAUCUGGCCUAAUACUGACGCUGAGGUACGAAAGCAUGGGGAGCAAACAGGAUUAGAUACCCUGGUAGUCCAUGCCGUAAACGAUGUCUACUAGCCGUUGGGGCCUUUGAGGCUUUAGUGGCGCA
rnacentral:rRNA from 1 species